CCUACUUAAACCCUAGGUGUGCGACCUCUGACAUGUAGAGCAAUUGUGAGUCACUUUGGAUAAAUGUGACAGCUAAAUGACAUGGAAUGUAA